rnacentral:rRNA from 1 species
GAUGAACGCUGACAGAAUGCUUAACACAUGCAAGUCAACUUGAACUUCGGUUUGGGUGGCGGACGGGUGAGUAACGCGUAAAGAACUUGCCUCACAGUUAGGGACAACAUUUGGAGACGAAUGCUAAUACCUGAUAUUAUGAUUUUAGGGCAUCCUAGAAUUAUGAAAGCUAUAUGCGCUGUGAGAGAGCUUUGCGUCCCAUUAGCUAGUUGGAGAGGUAACGGCUCACCAAGGCGAUGAUGGGUAGCCGGCCUGAGAGGGUGAACGGCCACAAGGGGACUGAGACACGGCCCUUACUCCUACGGGAGGCAGCAGUGGGGAAUAUUGGACAAUGGACCAAGAGUCUGAUCCAGCAAUUCAGUGUGCACGAUGAAGUUUUUCGGAAUGUAAAGUGCUUUCAGUUGGGAAGAAAAAAAUGACGAUACCAACAGAAGAAGUGACGGCUAAAUACGUG